rnacentral:rRNA from 1 species
AUGAGGCUGGAGCUUGCUCUAGCGGAUUAGUGGCGAACGGAGGAGUAACACGUGAGCAAUCUGCCCUUGACUCUGGGAUAACUGCGGGAAACUGUAGCUAAUACUGGAUACUUUCACCGAAAGGCAUCUUUUGGUGAUGAAAGAAUUUCGGUCAAGGAUGAGCUCGCGGCCUAUCAGCUUGUUGGUGAGGUAACGGCUCACCAAGGCGACGACGGGUAACCGGCCUGAGAGGGUGACCGGUCACACUGGGACUGAGACACGGCCCAGACUCCUACGGGAGGCAGCAGUGGGGAAUAUUGCACAAUGGGCGCAAGCCUGAUGCAGCAACGCCGCGUGAGGGAUGAAGGCCUUCGGGUUGUAAACCUCUUUUAGCAGGGAAGAAGCGAAAGUGACGGUACCUGCAGAAAAAGCACCGGCUAACUACGUGCCAGCAGCCGCGGUAAUACGUAGGGUGCAAGCGUUGUCCGGAAUUAUUGGGCGUAAAGAGCUCGUAGGCGGUUUGUCACGUCUGCUGUGAAAAUCCAAGGCUCAACCUUGGACUUGCAGUGGGUACGGGCAGGCUAGAGUGCGGUAGGGGAGAUGGGAAUUCCUGGUGUAGCGGUGGAAUGCGCAUAUAUCAUGAGGAACACCAAUGGCGAAGGCACAUCUCUGGGGCCGUAACUGACGCUGAGGAGCGAAAGCGUGGGGAGCAAACAGGAUUAGAUACCCUGGUAGUCCACGCCGGUAAACGGGGGGGUGCUAGCUUGUGGGCCACAUU